rnacentral:rRNA from 1 species
UACGUAGGGUGCAAGCGUUGUCCGGAAUUAUUGGGCGUAAAGAGCUCGUAGGCGGUCUGUCGCGUCUGCUGUGAAAACUCGGGGCUUAACCCCGGGCCUGCAGCUGAUACGGGCAGGCUUGAGUUCGGUAGGGGAGACUGGAAUUCCUGGUGUAGCGGUGAAAUGCGCAGAUAUCAGGAGGAACACCGGUGGCGAAGGCGGGUCUCUGGGCCGAUACUGACGCUGAGGAGCGAAAGCAUGGGUAGCGAACAGG